rnacentral:rRNA from 1 species
UACAGAGGUCUCAAGCGUUGUUCGGAUUCAUUGGGCGUAAAGGGUGCGUAGGCGGCGCGGUAAGUCGGGUGUGAAAAUCUCGGAGCUUAACUCCGAAACUGCAUUCGAUACUGCCGUGCUUGAGGACUGGAGAGGAGACUGGAAUUUACGGUGUAGCGGUGAAAUGCGUAGAUAUCGUAAGGAAGACCAGUGGCGAAGGCGGGUCUCUGGACAGUUCCUGACGCUGAGGCACGAAGGUCAGGGGGAGCAAAACGGGG